rnacentral:rRNA from 1 species
UACGUAGGGUGCAAGCGUUAAUCGGAAUUACUGGGCGUAAAGCGUGCGCAGGCGGUUUUAUAAGUUUGUCGUGAAAGCCCCGGGCUCAACCUGGGAAUGGCGAUGAAGACUGUAAGGCUAGAGUGUGUCAGAGGGGGGGUAGAAUUCCACGUGUAGCAGUGAAAUGCGUAGAGAUGCGGAGGAACACCAGUGGCGAAAGCGGCUUUCUGGUCCUUAACUGACGCUGAGGCGCGAAAGCAUGGGGAGCGAACGGG